rnacentral:rRNA from 1 species
UACGUAGGCAGCAAGCGUUGUUCGGAGUUACUGGGCGUAAAGAGUGCGUAGGCGGCCCUGUAAGUAUGGUGUGAAAUCUCCCGGCUUAACUGGGAGGGUGCGCUAUAGACUGCGGGGCUCGAGUGUGGGAGAGGAAAGUGGAAUUCCUGGUGUAGCGGUGAAAUGCGUAGAUAUCAGGAGGAACACCGGUGGUGUAAACGGCUUUCUGGACCAUAACUGACGCUGAGGCACGAAAGCGUGGGUAGCAAACAGG